rnacentral:rRNA from 1 species
CCUACGGGUGGCAGCAGUGAGGGAUAUUGGUCAAUGGUCGGGAGACUGAACCAGCCAAGCCGCGUGAGGGAUGAAGGUACAGAGUAUCGUAAACCUCUUUUGUCAGGGAACAAAGGCGGGGACGUGUCCCCGGAUGAGUGUACCUGAAGAAAAAGCAUCGGCUAACUCCUGGCCAGCAGCCGGGGUAAUACGGAGGAUGCGAGCGUUAUCCGGUUUGAUGGGGUUUAAAGGGUGCGCAGUGGGUAGGUUAAGUCAGCGGUCAAAGCCCGGGGCCAAACCCGGGCCCGCCGUUGAAACUGGCAGUCGCGAGUUGGAGAGAAGUAUGCGGAAUGCGUGGUGUAGCGGUGAAAUGCAUAGAUAUCGCGCAGAACUCCGAUUGCGAAGGCAGCAUGCCGGAUCCACACUGACGCUGAGGCACGAAAGCGUGGGUAUCGAACAGGAUUAGAUACCCGAGUAGUC